AGCAAUGAAUAUCCCGCAAACAAAAAGAGAGAACGGCCCACAAACUGAAAAGUGGGACCCAUGAGGCCACGUGAUUUUGACCACCCCCACCGUCCGAUCCGUUCCAUGCGCUUCUUUUGUUAAUUGUUAUUUGUUUCUUUUUUUCUGUUAACUUUUUUUAAUUUAUUUUCUGUAUUCGUUAUUUGUGAUUUCAUUGAUGAUUUCCUUCUCCCCCACGAUCCCCUCUGCCCACCAAUCUUCCAAGAAAUCAACCAAAAACCCAAAACCAAAACGCCAAGGAAGCCCCAAUUGCGGAUCAAAAUCUCAAUCCCUAGUUCCCUUACCGUCACCACCAUCCUCAACCAGCAAUGUCUCACAAGCCCCGAGGAGCAAAAUUGACCUAUCCUCCUCAUUGCAUCACCAUUGUCAGAUUUGCUUCCUCCCCUACCCAAUGACCCCUCAUCACCUCUCUUUCCCAUUCAAUUCAAUAAUGGCGUCCCUUUCCUCCUCUCUGGGUUUCCCCAAUCCAGGGGCCAACUUUUGAGUUUUGAUAUCCUCUUCUUCUUCCUCCUGUUUCUUCCUCGAUCCUCCCCCCUCUUUUUCUUAUUUGAUUCCAACUCAACCCGGAGAGCUUUCGUUUCUGGGAAUUGUCUGCUUCUUUUUUUUUUUUUGGCUGCUUGUAUUUCGCUAGCUCAGAUA
rnacentral:lncRNA from 1 species